AUUUCACCCCAUCAGUCGAGAUCUGAUCUGAGUCCAUUAACUGCUAGAUUCCAUGUUUAUGUUUCCAAUGCUCCAUGAUCCUAACAAAAUGAUAGAUUUCUUUUAACAUGUAUAAAUCCACACAUUUGCGUCCUCUCACCUUCGACUCUCUUCGAGUUUGGCGUCUCGGUGAAUAAAUCCGCUACACUUACUGACCACAAGAGGGAGCCGCUGACCACUGUUUUCAUCUGUCUUAUAUUCAGCGUGAUAAAUAGAAAUCUGCUUGAGUGUGUAAACGCUAAAGUAAGCUAGAAGUUUAAGUGUUGAGUUAGUGAGCAAACCUGAAGUAAUUUCCAGUCUAGUGGCACUAUAACACGACUCGUCUGGUGGAGAGGUAACCUGCAGUUUGUCGUCCGCUCCACUAGGGGCGCAAGCGGACUUUGCCUCCGGCGAACUGUGCAUCACUGCCAGCGUGACACCUGAGCGCAGUGUCAACAACUUCAAACCGCUUUAAAGCUGUGAAAGCGAAGAUUCUUCACAUGACAGCUCCGUGAGAGACUAUAAAUGUGACUCAACAGCACAUAUUUGAGGCCAGCAUUAAACAAAACCAUCAUAUAUUGCGGUAAAGUGCAUGAAAGGAGGAUGUCACGCUACUCACCUAAUAAGGGGUGAGUUUGGACGAUACAGAGUUUUGGGAAACAUCUGCUCAUGGACAGGUUCUAGACCCUGAGUUGCCGGUUCUGGAGCCAUAUUUUAUCCAGAGGCCAGAUCAGUGUGGGCAGAGAGGCUGGGUCAUGCCACUGUACUGGUGGAGAUGGCAGGACUGGUGGUUCUGACUUUUGGGGAAGCUGGACUAUCGUAGGACCGCAUUGUCGUUUUGUCUUGCUGGGGAUACGGGAUACUGUUCAGCAUUUAAAGAGAUUGGAAAACACUUUGGACCAUUUGACCUGGCUGCCAUCCCGACUGGAGCUUACCUGCCCUGAGGAAUCAUGAAGUCUCAGCAUGUGGAGCCUGAAGAGGCUGUUCAGAUUCACAUGGACAUUCAGGCGAAACAUCACUGCAUUACCUUGACCCUCCAGCACGUUUGUGUGAGGCUACGGUGAAUCAUGGACUGAAUCCAGAUCUGUUCUUUACACUUCAUCACGGAGUGUCACGGGUGAUCAACCACGAGGACAUGCACUCGUCCAGCUAAACAGAAACCCAGGAGGUAUGCAGACACGCAUUGUGAUCUACAUAGGCUGCAUUUCUAUAAAUUAUUUUACAGAUUUCUAUUUUGAUUUAAUAUAAUUUGUCAUUUACAAUAUCAUGCUGUGAUCAUAACACAACAUCUGAAUUUAAAUAGUGUAUCUAGAAGCUCUGCUGGUUGGAAGAACGUUGGUCAGGUGAGAUCUUACCUGAGGACCUUGUUGUAAACCUUCAUAAGACACAGAAGAACCAUACCUUAGGAAAUUCACUUUAUUUGCAAUUGUUUAAUAACAUCAUUCCUCAGAUAAAAAUGCAAUAUUACAGGAAUAUACAGCAGAGAUUAAUUUAAAACUUCCUGUCAAGAACCAUACAAUCUAAAGAUAUUUUUUAGUUUUUAUUUACUGGUAGCGUGCGUUAUAAGCAAGACACACUCUGUCACCAAAGACAGACUGACAGAUACAGAUACAAACUGUACAAUCACUUAUUUACAAAUCCAAUUUUUUUUUUCAUUUCACUUUUUUUUUUUGAAAAUAGGAGUAGAAAAAGUGAUUGAAUCUUCAGAUUAACGUAGCGUAUUCUUUUUAAAAUCUAAAUGAACAAAUGAAAGAAUGAUGAAAUGAAACAAAAGAGUCUCAGCAAAAGUAGAGGAGGGGAUGACAGACCAUGCAGACGUCUCACAGUUUUCAAUAACACCUGGGGUCUAAACUCUGUUAAAUAGUCCAAAAUGUGAAUGACCUCUGACGGUGUUUCGUGAGAGACCUGAAUGGUCAGCACUGAUGCCUUCGAAUUCUACCAAAAGCAUGAUGCACGUCUAAUUUUAAUUCAGCUCGUUAAUCUAACAAACAGAUCAGGACCUCAAGACUACACUUCCCAUCCGCACCGUCAAUCAAGACUACAGAAGCUGCUCGUGUGGUCACCAGAAAUAAAGCAACUGAGACGAUCCGCUCAAAGAUUCCUCCCUUUGUGAGUCCUAAGCGGUUAAACGUAAACCAAAUCACCUCCGACCGCAGGAAAAUAGUGUAAUGCAGAUUCGGGUUUCAGCCUCUAUAACAGAAAGAAUUGUGGGCUGCAUCUGUAGAUGAGUGAGUGUCACGGUACAUACAAAUGGGACGUC